GCCGGGGUCUCCUAGAGCGCAAAACACGCGGGAAAUCAGGUAGGGAGCGGGCCUGGAGAGCCCGUGGCCCUUUGUGGGCCGCGUGGGUUCAAAUCCCACCCCCGGCGCCA
rnacentral:tRNA from 1 species